UGGGGAAUCUUGGACAAUGGGGGCAACCCUGAUCCAGCCAUGCCGCGUGAGUGAUGAAGGCCUUAGGGUCGUAAAGCUCUUUCGCCUGUGAAGAUAAUGACGGUAGCAGGUAAAGAAACCCCGGCUAACUCCGUGCCAGCAGCCGCGGUAAUACGGAGGGGGUUAGCGUUGUUCGGAAUUACUGGGCGUAAAGGGCGUGUAGGCGGCCAAUUAAGUCAGAGGUGAAAUCCCGAGCUCAACUUGGGAACUGCCUUUGAUACUGAUUGGCUAGAGUUCGGGAGAGGGUAGUGGAAUUCCCAGUGUAGAGGUGAAAUUCGUAGAUAUUGGGAAGAACACCAGUGGCGAAGGCGGCUACCUGGACCGAUACUGACGCUGAGGUGCGAAAGUGUGGGGAGCAAACAGGAUUAGAUACCCUGGUAGUCCACACCGUAAACGAUGAAUGCCAGUCGUCGGGUAGCAUGCUAUUCGGUGACACACCUAACGGAUUAAGCAUUCCGCCUGGGGAGUACGGUCGCAGAUUAAAACUCAAAGG
rnacentral:rRNA from 1 species